CGACAACCUCCUUAAGUUAUCGCCUUAACAGCAGCGUCGACUUCUCAUUCAAGUAUUUCCGAUGUGCUGCGAAGGAACAGGUGAAAGAUGUGAGCUUGGACCAGAACCUCCCUCCGGCUCUCCCACAUCUCCAGGAGCUUGUUCCAGCCGACGUCGAGCUUCUGCAGCCACUGCUGCAGGGCGGCCUGCGGCAGGGGGGCGUCCUCUGACUCCAGCAGCUCGUUCAUGGCCUGCAGACGCUCGUAGUCUUCCUCGUACCUGGAUCCGGUCCGGACGGCGCGUUAGGUGAAACACGGCAGAAAGGAGACUUGUUGGAGCAGCCACCUACCGUCCGAUCUCCUCUUUGAGAGCGGCGUGCUUGUUGAUGAGCUUCUCUGCCUCCUCCAGAUCGUUGGGCAGCUGAUCCGAGGCAGCGGCUGUUUGGGUCUGGACCAGCCAGCUCUGCAGCCUGCUGGCCACCAUCAGCGAGUCCUCACAUCCCUGUAGCGUCCUUUUAAGCUCCUCCCACUCGACGCUGAUGCCAUCGAACGGCACCAGGAUCUCCAUGGUUCGGCUGGGAUGAGCGGCGGCCAGA